ACUUAGAUCUGGAGUUUGGUGGUUUUGUACGGCAGCGUGCGAUUUAUUGUAGUAAAGCAAAAACAAAUUUUGUUAAGUUUUUUCCUUAGUGUUCAAACUUAAAAUUUCUUAACUAUGUAGAAAACCAGGCAAUUCUUCUCAUUGUAAGAAACUUUUUAUGAAGACCCAAGUGACUGCCUGCGUUACGAAGUGACUGCCUACGUUUUGACCAAUAAAUUAACGUUAAGCACCAGUGACUGUCUUGCGAACACAGUGCGUAAGGGCCUCAAGCUUGCUGAUCUUUUCUAGGAGGUAAAUAACUACAGUGAUUCCCUAAUAACCACUACUAAGGACAAUGGAGUUUCAGCUGAACUUUGUAGCCUUGUGAUGAAACAUAAGCCAGCAAGCUUCCCAGGAAAGCUGCAAUUAUGGUUUUCAAUGGAUAAAAAGAAUUUAUGUAGUUAUGAAAAUUUGCCAUUGAAAAUUUAAUUUCUUUGACAAACUUAAUUAGGAUGAUUUACAGAAAUUAAAAAGUGUCUUGAAAAUGUUUCUUUGUCAACUUAGGAUAAUUUACAGAAAUUAAGUGCCUUGAAAAUGUAGUUUCUUUGACAACCUUAGGAUAAUUUACAGAAAUUAAAAGUGCCUUACUUUUACCAAUUAUUUAAUCUAAUAACCUCCAGGGUUAAGGGUAUAUGAAGUAUCUAUAGUAGGAUUAAUUUUGAAGGACUAGUUUGUCCAAUUUUGAUCAGUUAUUUUUUUACUCUUUUGAAAGUUAAUUAAAAUUCUUCGAUUAAUCAUUUAAUAUGAAA